AGGGUUUGAUUAUGGCUCAGGAUUAACGCUGGCGGCAUGCCUAAUACAUGCAAGUCGAACGAGAAAUUUAUUUCUAGUGGCGAUCGGGCGAGUAAUGUAUUUUUAACAUUCCCCAAAGAGAGGGAUAUCUAUUGGCAACGAUACAUAAUACCUCAUUCCAUACAGUAUGGCAUCAUAUUGUGUUUAAAGGUGGGUUUGCGGCACUAUGGGAUGGGGAAAUAUCACAUUACAUCGUUGGUAGGGUAAAGGCCUUCCAAGGCGAUGAUGUGUAGCCGAGCUGAGAGGUUGAUCGGCCACAAUGGGACUGAGACACGGCCCAUACUCCUACGGGAGGCAGCAGUAGGGAAUUUUCCACAAUGGUAGAAAGUAUGAUGGAGCAAUUUCGCGUGAGGGACGUCGGUCUUGGGAUUGUAAGCCUCUGUUAUAAGGGAAGAUCAACCUAUAUAGGAAAUGAUAUAGUUGUGACGGUACUUUAUCAGAAAGUCCCGGCUAUAUAUGUGCCAGCAGCCGCGGUAAU
rnacentral:rRNA from 1 species